CCUACGGGUGGCAGCAGUGGGGAAUUCCUACGGGAGGCAGCAGUGGGGAAUAUUGGACAAUGGGCGCAAGCCUGAUCCAGCCAUGCCGCGUGAAUGAUGAAGGCCUUAGGGUUGUAAAAUUCUUUCACCGGGGACCGAUAAUGACGGUACCCGGAGAAGAAGCCCCGGCUAACUUCGUGCCAGCAGCCGCGGUAAUAAACUCUGUGCCCGCGGCCGACGGUAAU
rnacentral:rRNA from 1 species